rnacentral:rRNA from 1 species
CCCUUAGAUGUUCUGGGCCGCACGCGCGCUACACUGAUGCAUUCAACGAGUCUAAAACCUGCUCUGAUAGGGGUGGGUAAUCUUUUGAAUGUGCAUCGUGAUUGGGAUAGAUGAUUGCAAUUUUUCAUCUUCAACUAGGAAUGCCUAGUAAACGCAAGUCAUCAGCUUGCAUUGAUUACGUCCCUGCCCUUUGUACACACCGCCCGUCGCUCCUACCGAUUGAAUGAUCCGAUGAAUAUCAUGGAUUGAGGAUGCAAGCAGGUUCGCCUGUCUUCAUCUUCGAGAAGUGAAGUAAAUCUUAUCAUUUAGAGGAAGGAGAAGUCGUAACA